UACGUAGGGUGCAAGCGUUGUCCGGAAUUAUUGGGCGUAAAGAGCUCGUAGGCGGUUUGUUGCGUCGGCUGUGAAAACCUGAGGCUCAACCUCAGGCCUGCAGUCGAUACGAGCAGACUAGAGUGUUGCAGGGGAGACUGGAAUUCCUGGUGUAGCGGUGAAAUGCGCAGAUAUCAGGAGGAACACCGGUGGCGAAGGCGGUUCUCUGGGCCUGUACUGACGCUGAGGAACGAAAGCGUGGGGAGCGAACAGG
rnacentral:rRNA from 1 species